UACGAAGGGGGCGAGCGUUGUUCGGAAUUACUGGGCGUAAAGGGCGCGCAGGCGGCUCUGAAAGUCAGAUGUGAAAGCCCCGGGCUUAACCUGGGAAUUGCAUUUGAUACUCUGGAGCUUGAGUGUGGGAGAGGAGAGUGGAAUUCCCAGUGUAGAGGUGAAAUUCGUAGAUAUUGGGAAGAACACCGGUGGCGAAGGCGGUUCUCUGGGCCUGUUCUGACGCUGAGGAGCGAAAGCGUGGGGAGCGAACAGG
rnacentral:rRNA from 1 species